rnacentral:rRNA from 1 species
GUCUAUGGCCAUGCUACCUCGAACAAGCCAGAUCCCGUCUAAUCUCGGAAGCUAAGCAGGGUCGGGCCUGGUUAGUACUUGGAUGGGAGACCACCUACAAAGAAGACCAGUUGCUGUAGGCG